CCUACGGGAGGCAGCAGUGGGGAAUAUUGCACAAUGGGGGAAACCCUGAUGCAGCGACGCCGCGUGAAGGAAGAAGUAUUUCGGUAUGUAAACUUCUAUCAGCAGGGAAGAAAAUGACGGUAUCUGACUAAGUAGACCCUGCUAACUACGUGCCAGCAGCCGCGGUCAUACGUAGGGGGCAAGCGUUAUCCGGAUUUACUGGGUGGAAAGGGAGCGGAGGCGGUUUAGCAAGUCAGAAGUGAAAGCCCGGGGCUCAACUCCGGGACUGCUUUUGAAACUGUUGAACUAGAGUGCAGGAGAGGUAAGUGGAAUUCCUAGUGUAGCGGUGAAAUGCGUAGAUAUUAGGAGGAACACCAGUGGCGAAGGCGGCUUACUGGACUGUAAAUGACGCUGAGGGUCGAAAGCGUGGGGAGCAAACAGGAUUAGAUACCCGAGUAGUC
rnacentral:rRNA from 1 species